UCAUGUAUUAUGAAGAGGUGGACAAAGUUAGCAAAGGUGUAUACAAGAUCAGUACCAGUGAAUGAGACGGAUAACAACAUGGAUCGGUUUGUACGAUAUGGUUCAUUGAGUUCGAUGUGCAACAAGCUCUCCUACUUUGCGUCAGAUACGUCAUCUUCAUUUAUAGAGGCCAAAAAUGAAAUACAAAAUUUGACGGCGAGAAUGGAGGAACUCUAUAACUAUAAUUUGAAAGGGAAGAAAAUAGCAUCAGAUGGAGCGACAGGUACUAACCAAGUUCGUGAUCCAAAUAUUGUGAAGACUAAAGGGAAUCCAGGCAAAGUGGCAAUGAAUGUUCAAAAGGGAAGACGAUGCAGUCGUUGUAAAAGAGUGGGUCACACAAUUCGAAAGUGUCCAGAAGCUACAAUCCCUCAAAAUGCUCAGCCGGGUUAUAUGGUAUGUCAUAUUCAAUAAAAAUUGCCCCUAAGAUUAAUUUUUGUAGGUGUACUAACAUAAAUGACUAACAUAAUUGUUUUGAUGGCAUUAUGAGUACGUAGGAGGAAACUAAUUUGUCUUCCCAAUGUGACAUUCAAAGGGAAAUGAUGCCUUCAACAAAUUCAUCAGUUGACAUUUUUGCAACCUUACAUGGAAUGUUAGGGGAGCAGUUGCCGAAUGACCCAUCUGACAUGUACAUAGAUUGGGGUGAACUUAAUAAUAUAGCAGGAUUUCAGCAACAUGAACAAAGUAUGUCAACACCAUGUGAAGGUGGGGAUCCAAACAAAUAUCCAAAUGAAAAGGAUAUGCAACCUUUUUUUUAUUCCUUAGCGGAGUAAGGGAUGGUAGGUAUUAAAUCAGUAUUUAUAUUAGUUGA